rnacentral:rRNA from 1 species
GAUGAACGCUGGCGGCGUGCCUAAUACAUGCAAGUCGAGCGAACAGACGAGGAGCUUGCUCCUCUGACGUUAGCGGCGGACGGGUGAGUAACACGUGGAUAACCUACCUAUAAGACUGGGAUAACUUCGGGAAACCGGAGCUAAUACCGGAUAAUAUAUUGAACCGCAUGGUUCAAUAGUGAAAGACGGUUUUGCUGUCACUUAUAGAUGGAUCCGCGCCGCAUUAGCUAGUUGGUAAGGUAACUGCUUACCAAGGCGACGAUGCGUAGCCGACCUGAGAGGGUGAUCGGCCACACUGGAACUGAGACACGGUCCAGACUCCUACGGGAGGCAGCAGUAGGGAAUAUUACGCAAUGGGCGAAAGCCUGACGGAGCAACGCCGCGUGAGUGAUGAAGGUCUUCGGAUCGUAAAACUCUGUUAUUAGGGAAGAACAAAUGUGUAAGUAACUAUGCACGUCUUGACGGUACCUAAUCAGAAAGCCACGGCUAACUACGUG